rnacentral:sRNA from 1 species
GACCACUUCAAAUGAAGUUGAGGCCAUACGGACAGCCGGGUCCACUGCCGA